rnacentral:rRNA from 1 species
AUUGAACGCUGGCGGCAAGCCUAACACAUGCAAGUCGAACGAGUGGCGGACGGGUGAGUAAUGUCUGGGAAACUGCCUGAUGGAGGGGGAUAACUACUGGAAACGGUAGCUAAUACGGCAUACCAUCGGCUGUUCCCAGAUGGGAUUAGCGAGUAGGUGGGGUAAAGGCUCACCAAGGCGACGAUCCAUAGCUGGUCUGAGAGGAUGACCAGCCACACUGGAACUGAGACACGGUCCAGACUCCUACGGGAGGCAGCAGUGGGGAAUAUUGCACAAUGGGCGCAAGCCUGAUGCAGCCAUGCCGCGUGUAUGAAGAAGGCCUUCGGGUUGUAAAGUACUUUUAGCGGGGAGGCGUUACCCGCACAAGAAGCACCGGCUAACUCCGUGCCAGCAGCCGCGGUAAUUC